UCGGAUUCAUGUCAACAGCCCGAAUGAGGCAUAAGGAUGCUUUUUUUCAGACGUCAUCAGUAAACACACAAUUGGUCAAAUGGGGCUACUAAAUGUAUCCUCGUACUCUCAACGAGUCAGAGAACCUCGUGGACUUCAAUCGAAGUGUCAAAUUGUAUCCAGAUAUGAUUUUCGCCGCGUCAAAGUUGACCUUCAAGAUGCUUCCUUAUGCCUAAUUUUGGCGUAGAUUUCGCACUGCAUGGGGGUUUCCAUGCUACCGAUAUCGCCACAUCCGGUCUACUUCCGGGUUUGCCUAACGUUACGCCACCAACGGUUGAGGUGUCAUCAAUCCCCAUUAAAGGUUUCAAUGGAAAUGAAGCAGUUGCAGUUUGUACGAAUCGACGCCCGAAUCAGAUGCUACCUUCUGUGCAAGACAAAUCGCCGGCUAAAUCGCUGGCUUCAAGCAAAUCGACGGCUGAAUCGACGCAAUGCUUGACUGUAUCAAUGGUCCAACUCAUAAAUCCACUUGCAAGUAUAAGUCUCAAACAGUGAACGUCAAGACACGGCUAACUGAACUGGGACAGUAGAUUUCAGGAUGCAACCCCGAAGACACUACUUUAGACAGAUACCACAAACCCCCAUGUGGUGCCCACUUCAAAUUUCUCGGCGUGGGGCCAUCCCAUUGAAAAACAAUGGGGCCGACACCUCAGCGAAAUGGUCAACUUUGAUGCGCCGGAUGCCGUCUUAGAAUACAUUUUGACAUCUUGAAUGAAGUCCACAAUGUUCUCUGACUUAUCAAGAGUACGAUGAUACAGUUAUUAUCCCCAUUUGACAAAUUGUUUAUUUUCUAUGAUUUUUUUGUGUAAAGCAUCCUUAUGCCUAAUUCUGGCUGUCGACA